UAUCAGUUUUAAUUUAUUGUUUCGAGAAAUAUGCAUGCAAUAAUUAUGUGAUUUGUGCAUAGUUAUCAUUGGAUUCUCACUAUCAUUGAUCCAUAUAAGGAGACAGUUUAUUUGUUGGAUUCGCUUAGUCAUCGCAUUCGUGACGAGGACUGGAAAUACGUAGUGGAAAUGAGCAUAAGAUUGUUUAAUUCAAACAAGGAAAAAAAAGGGAAAAAGCAUGUUACAUGGAAAGUAAUAAAGGGUCCUUGCCAACCAGAUUCGAAACAGUGUGCUUUUUAUGUGAUGAGAUAUAUGAGAGAUAUUAUUGAAGAAGUGGAAACUAUCGAGAGAGAUUCACUUCGAUCAAUAGUAAUAUUUGACAUUCAAUUCUCAAUCUUCUUAAAUAUUUGUGUGUUUAUCAUUUUGCACUUAUCAUCUUUUGAUUAUUUUUUACUAAUC